AGCCCUUAUUUAAAAAAUUAAAAAAAAAAGUUUCCGGCAGACGGACAUCCAAUGACAUAGCUCCACGUGUUGAAAUAACAAGACUAGCACCGCUCACAUCUGCAAGAAGCGAGAGAGCUGGCUUGGGUUCACAACUCCAGGUAAGUGGGCUCCAUCUGCCUUCAACAAACUUGACACCUCCACAUACCUUUUAUAAUUUCCCUCACUCGGCUCGGCUUCUUCUUCUUCCCCACCCUCGCUUGUCCCAAACGGUUGACCGUAGAUCGUGCCCUUACUCAGGUAUUCAUGUGCUAAAUACCCAGCCAGGAUCUGAUUAAACGAAACCGGCUCAGAGAGUUUUCCGGAGCCGGCUUGAGGAGUGGUCGGCUUGGGUAAUUUUGUUGGUGUUGGUGUAGGUGAUGAUGGUGGAGACGACUUCAGAGAAUCAAAACCCUCCCUCUCCUUCCGCUUAUUUGUAGUCAAAACGCGACGGGGAGGGGGACGCAUCGUUUUGGUGCUCAUUCUCAACAAAUCGAUGCAUGCCACGUCAGAAAGUAAGAAAUUUAAAGAAUUUUUUGAAAAAAAAAGAAAAGAAGAAGAAUAAGGC
rnacentral:misc_RNA from 1 species